rnacentral:lncRNA from 1 species
CCAGGAGAUCAGGUGGAUCUCUCUCUCCAUCAACAUUCCAUAUAUGACCACAAUUACACUAAAUGCUUUGGAGGAGUUUCUACAGAUUUUUGCCCAAGACCAACGGCCAUAUUCUCUUCUAUUAAGACCAAGGAGUAUUUCAGGAAGGCUUGAAGAUCAUGGCCACGUCCAGAAGCUGUCCAGAUACAAGAUCAUCCAAGUUAUCCUU